AGCGGAUGCAGCCCCGCAAGGUGACCUGACAGGCCUUUGGGAAUGCUCCAGAAGAAAAGGUUCACUUGAAUUCAAUAAGGAAACCAAGGAAUUGCUCAGAAGAAUAUUUCAGUCCUGAUAUUUGCUGUAACUAAUAAUUACUGGAUAAACAGAGAAGACACAUGGAGGAUAUUUUACCUGGGUCCAACAAAACCAUAGCAACAGCAGCAAGUUGAAAAGAGCAAAAAAAAAAAAAAGAGAGAGACCGAAGUACAAUUACAAUCCCAUCCCACAAAAAGGUCAAGGGCUACCUGAAAGACCGGUGGCCCCAGGAUCCUCAAAGCAUCCAAACCAUCCCUAUACUCUCAGGAAAGAAAUAAAAGCCAAAGUGAUAACUUAAAAAUGAAGCUGCCACCCACAGGGGAUGAGGACUUGGAUGGAGCCCAGCAUCAACAAGGCGGAUCACUUGAGCCUGGGAGUUUGAGGCUGCAGUGAGCCAUGAUUGUGUCACUGCACUUCAGCCUGGGAACAGAGCAAGACCCUGUCUCAAAACAAACAAACAAAAACAAAAGAGUCCAAUAACCUUCAUGGACACACAACCAUUCUUAAUAAAAUGUUAGCCAAUCAAGUCCAUCAAGUUACAAAAAUAUAAUAGAUUGUGACCAUGGGGAGUUUAUGCAGGAAAUGCAAUGUUGAUUCAACAUCCAAAACUAAUUCUAAUCAAUGUUAUUUCAUUUAUCAACAGACUAAAAGGAAAAACCAAUUCAUCAUCUUAAUAGAUGCAGAAAAGACAGUAAAUAUAAUUCAAUACUCAUUAAUGACAAGGACUGUAAAAGACUAGUUAUAGAAGAUACUUCUUAACCAAGGAUGGUGUCUAAUGAAUAACUUGCAGCUAACAACAGCUAACAUUAUGAAAGAUUAAUUUUCCUCUAACAUUGAAAAAAUGACCUGUAUGUUUAUACUCAUCAUUUCUCUUCAACUGAGAGUCCUAGCCAAAAUCAUAAGGUCAGGAAAAAAUAAAUAAUAGGGAUACAAAUGAGAAAGAAACAAAAUAAAACAAUUUUAAACUUCAGGCAAUGUUAUUAUAUACAUAAAACAUAAAGACUCUACGAUAAAGCUUGUAGACAUAAAGGAGUUUGGCAAGGUUGCAAGUGGCAAAGACAAUAUAUAAAGUAAAUAUAUACACACACACACACAUAUACAUAUAAGUAUAAAAAACACACCAUUAAAAAAAUGAAGUAAGGAAUUCCAUUUCUUCAUAGCUCCAUAAAAACAACUAACAAGGCCGGGCAUGGUGGCUCAUGCCUGUAAUCCCAGGACUUUGCGAGGCCGAGGCAGGUGGAUCAUGAGGUCAGGAGUUAGAGUCCAGC
rnacentral:lncRNA from 1 species